CAACUAGAAUUAGGAUGACCCCAGGGCUGCAUGUGUGCUAAGAGCUUUAUGUGCAUUCUUUCAUGCUCACAACCUUUGCAACCUGUGCUCCUAUAAUACCUGUUUUACAGAUGAGGAAGCUGAGCCACGGAGAUCUUAAGUGGAUUGCCCAAGACUGGAGAGUGGCAGAAUCUGAACUCAACCAUCACCACCAAGUCAUCAUCAGUAUACACAAACAUGGACCUGCUGAUGUGCAACACUGAGCAUAAGGCCCAGUCCCUGAAUCUGAAUGUCCUGUGCCUGAGGAAAUAAGGUCUUCAAGGAAGGCAAUAAAGGAACCAACAUGUACUGAGCAUGUUCUGUGUGUGGUCCACUUAUGUAAAAUACAUCACACAUGAGUAGAGACUGAAAAAUAUCACUCUUUUGACAGCUGGCACAAGAGGAAUUUUAGGAAGAAGAGAGUAUUUAGAAAAUAUUGUUAGGCUACUUAGUGGUAGAGUGAGGCCUGGAGAACUGGCCUGGAUGAAGACUGUGUCACAAAGCAGUGGCAAAAGUGAAAACUUUGAAUUUGGGAAUGAGGUAAGCAAACAUGGGAGAGAUGGUAUAAUGCUCCACAUUUCUCUCUUCUGAAGUGAAAUGCAGAUGUUAGAUAGUUAAAAGAGAGAUCAAAUAGAGUCUGACUGUAUUAAUAAUUCAGGUCACAGGGUUAUAUGUGCUUAUCCUCAAACUGCCUAUCCAAGGGGGACUAGUAGAAGGAGUUCUGAAUUCUACCUUGGAGAGGUAAGAGAUAUAAUUUAGGCCGGGCCGGGGGCCCAAGCCUGUAAUCCCAGCACUUUGGGAGGCCGAGGCGGGUGGAUCACGAGGUCAAGAGAUCGAAACCAUCCUGGUCAACAUGGUGAAACCCCGUCUCUACUAAAGAUACAAAAAAUUAGCUGGGCAUGGUGGCGCGUGCCUGUAAUCCCAGCUACUCAGGAGGCUGGGGCAGGAGAAUUGCCUGAACCCAGGAGGCGGAGGUUGUGGUGAGCCGAGAUCGCGCCAUCGCACUCCAGCCUGGGUAACAAGAGCGAAACUCCGUCUCAAAAAAAAAAAAAAAAAAAAAAGAUAUAAUUUAGAGCAUUUCUGAAACACACAAAAGCUGUUUAGACGAUGCUGGGAGUGUGUGUGGGGAAACACCAUAGGUUUCUUAGAAAUGGAAAUCCUCCUUUGACUUUAUUUCCAUCCCUUCCUUCUCGAUUACAGAG
rnacentral:lncRNA from 1 species